UCUACGGAGAGUUUGAUCCUGGCUCAGGACGAACGCUGGCGGCGUGCUUAACACAUGCAAGUCGAACGGUGAACC
rnacentral:rRNA from 1 species